AUUGAACGCUGGCGGCAGGCCUAACACAUGCAAGUCGAACGGUAACAGGAAGAAGCUUGCUUCUUUGCUGACGAGUGGCGGACGGGUGAGUAAUGUCUGGGAAACUGCCUGAUGGAGGGGGAUAACUACUGGAAACGGUAGCUAAUACCGCAUAAUGUCGCAAGACCAAAGAGGGGGACCUUCGGGCCUCUUGCCAUCGGAUGUGCCCAGAUGGGAUUAGCUAGUAGGUGGGGUAACGGCUCACCUAGGCGACGAUCCCUAGCUGGUCUGAGAGGAUGACCAGCCACACUGGAACUGAGACACGGUCCAGACUCCUACGGGAGGCAGCAGUGGGGAAUAUUGCACAAUGGGCGCAAGCCUGAUGCAGCUAUACCGCGUGUAUGAAGAAGGCCUUCGGGUUGUAAAGUACUUUCAGCGGGGAGGAAGGGAGUAAAGUUAAUACCUUUGCUCAUUGACGUUACCCGCAGAAGAAGCACCGGCUAACUCCGUG
rnacentral:rRNA from 1 species